UACGAAGGGGGCUAGCGUUGCUCGGAAUCACUGGGCGUAAAGGGUGCGUAGGCGGGUCUUUAAGUCAGGGGUGAAAUCCUGGAGCUCAACUCCAGAACUGCCUUUGAUACUGAAGAUCUUGAGUUCGGGAGAGGUGAGUGGAACUGCGAGUGUAGAGGUGAAAUUCGUAGAUAUUCGCAAGAACACCAGUGGCGAAGGCGGCUCACUGGCCAGAUACAGACGCUGAGGCACGAAAGCGUGGGGAGCAAACAGG
rnacentral:rRNA from 1 species